AUGAGUUUAGCCAGGGUUUGGGGCAUGUAUCAAGAUGAGAACAAGCUAAGGCUCAGGGAAAAUGUAGUUAAUGCUGAAGAGAAUUUUAGGAUUGUGAAAGAGAAGGAAAAGGAUCUGAGGUUUUUUAAACUAGAUUUUGCUAAGAUGGUGGCUGACAAGGAGCAGGCAAUUACUGAAUUGGGCAAUGCAAGACUUGUUGUUUCUGACCUGAAGAAAGAGCUUCAGAAGAAGAAGAUGUCUGAUAAAUCUAGCACUACCAUUCAUCAGGUUGUGAGGGCUAAGGCAGAGAAAGAGAGGAAUUAG
rnacentral:rRNA from 1 species